ACAGGAUCAUCAUACAAUUAGGCAGUAGGAUGCCAGGUGCUAACCUUGGGGGGACUCUGAUUAAACAAACAGCAUUGAUUUUCAUGUAAUGUUACACUCCAUCACAAGGCCUUGGGAAAAGAGCAAUGGUGUCACCAGGAUCCUGAGUUCUUCCUAAAAUCUAAAUAUACAGAUGAACAAAUGACAUUAUGUUGCACCCCGAUCUAAGUCAUCCACUACUUCUAGGACAGCUGAAGAGAAGACAGAAGAAGGAAAGAACAAUGAUGACAAAAGCAUGGAAAGCUAACAAAAGAGGAUAAACAUACUGCAUACUGUUGAAGAUGCAACAAAAGCAUACAAAGAGUCAAGGAAGCCCAUUCUCUCAGAGAGAAUUCUAUUUGACUGAGGGUCCAAGGGGAAAGUCACACCUGCAAAGCCCAUCUAUCUCCAUCGGUAGAAUGAAGGGAGAAAUCUGGUGACCUUCUUAUGAUUUCUUUUCCUCAAGUCUAUAUGUAAGGACACACCGAUAUAGUUUAAAAAAAUAAAAAUAAAAAUAAAG